UACUGCCUACGGGACGCAGCAGUGGGGAAUAUUGCACAAUGGGGGAAACCCUGAUGCAGCAACGCCGCGUGAGUGAAGAAGUAUUUCGGUAUGUAAAGCUCUAUCAGCAGGGAAGAAGAUGACGGUACCUGAAUAAGAAGCCCCGGCUAACUACGUGCCAGCAGCCGCGGUAAUACGUAGGGGGCAAGCGUUAUCCGGAUUUACUGGGUGUAAAGGGAGCGCAGACGGCAGUGCAAGUCUGGAGUGAAAGCCCGGGGCCCAACCCCGGUAUUGCUCUGGAAACUGUGCGGCUAGAGUACUGGAGG
rnacentral:rRNA from 1 species